UACAGAGGGUGCGAGCGUUGUCCGGAAUCACUGGGCGUAAAGGGCGCGUAGGCGGCUUGGCAAGCGUGCGGUGAAAGCUCAGGGCUCAACCCUGAGUCUGCCGUGCGAACUGCCGGGCUUGAGCACAGUAGAGGCAGAUGGAAUUCCGGGUGUAGCGGUGGAAUGCGUAGAGAUCCGGAAGAACACCGGUGGCGAAGGCGGUCUGCUGGGCUGUGUCUGACGCUGAGGCGAGACAGCGUGGGGAGCAAACAGG
rnacentral:rRNA from 1 species